AACGCAACUUGCGCCUUUUACGAGGCAUGUUUGUUUGAGUGCCAUAAUCUCUCUGCAGCAAUGCGAUUUGACUCUUGUCUAUAUUGACCGAGUUUAAAAUAAGCUAGUGGAUGGUCAGUUUAGACUAGCCCGAGUGCUAAGCAUUCUUGGGUCUAGGCUGGAUUGCUCAUAACAUAUAUUAUUUUAUUUGGCCUCAAAUCAAGCAAGACUACCCGCUGAACUUAA
rnacentral:misc_RNA from 1 species